GAGUUUGAUCGUGGCUCAGGACGAACGCUGGCGGCGUGCUUAACACAUGCAAGUCAAGGGGUAGCAAUACCACUGGCGCACGGGUGAGUAACGCGUAGAUUAUCUGCCCCUAUCUCCGGAAUAACAUCAAGAAAUUGGUGCUAAAAACGGAUGAGGCACAAUGUGUCAAAGGUAACGGAUAGGGAUGAGUCUGCGUCUGAUUAGCUAGUUGGUGAGGUAACGGCUCACCAAGGCGACGAUCAGUAGCUGGUCUGAGAGGACGAUCAGCCACACUGGAACUGAGACACGGUCCAGACUCCUACGGGAGGCAGCAGUGAGGAAUUUUUGCACAAUGGAGGAAACUCUGAUGCAGCGACGCCGCGUGCGGGAUGAAGGGGCUUUGCCUUGUAACCGCUGUCGGGUGGGAAAAAAGUUCCCUCGGGGGACUGGGAUUGUACCACCAAAGGAAGGACCGGCUAACUACGUGCCAGCCGCC
rnacentral:rRNA from 1 species